CCUACGGGUGGCAGCAGUGGGGAAUAUUGCGCAAUGGGCGAAAGCCUGACGCAGCGACGCCGCGUGAGGGAUGAAGGUCUUCGGAUCGUAAACCUCUGUCAGCAGGGAAGAACGGUCACUGUGCUAUUCAGCAGUGAAUUGACGGUACCUGCAAAGGAAGCACCGGCUAACUCCGUGCCAGCCGCCGCGUGAAGACGGAGGGUGCGAGCGUUAAUCGGAAUUACUGGGUGUAAAGCGCUCGUAGGCGGUAUGUCAAGUCAAGGGUGAAAUCCCCGCGCUCAACGUGGGAACUGCCUUUGAAACUGGCAAACUGGAGUGUGUGAGAGGAUAGUGGAAUUCCAGGUGUAGGAGUGAAAGCCGUAGAUAUCUGGAGGAACAUCAGUGGCGAAGGCGACUAUCUGGCACAUAACUGACGCUGAGGAGCGAAAGCGUGGGUAGCAAACAGGAUUAGAUACCCGGGUAGUC
rnacentral:rRNA from 1 species